GGGCUUAUGGCCAUAUUGAAACACUAGUUCCCAUACAAUCACCGCAGCUAAGCAAUGUUGAGCCUGGUCAGUACCUAGAUGGGUGACCAC